UACAGAGGUGGCAAGCGUUGUUCGGAAUUACUGGGCGUAAAGGGUGCGUAGGCGGCCAACUAAGUCAGACGUGAAAUCCCUCGGCUUAACCGGGGAACUGCGUCUGAUACUGGAUGGCUUGAAUCCGGGAGAGGGAUGCGGAAUUCCAGGUGUAGCGGUGAAAUGCGUAGAUAUCUGGAGGAACACCGGUGGCGAAGGCGGCGUUCUGGACUGCAACUGACACUGAUGAACGAAAGCCAGGGGAGCAAACGGG
rnacentral:rRNA from 1 species